rnacentral:lncRNA from 1 species
GCGUGUGGCCGCCGAGCACAUGGACCCACUGGUCAAGCGGGCUCGGCAAGGCCAGGAUGAAGAGAAGCUACGAACUUAGCAUUCCCAGAGCCCCCCGAGUGGAUAUCCGCGUGGAAAGGAUGUUGGCAGCCCCGGUGACCUCGGAGUCACGGCUGGAUCCACCCUCUUGUCUGAUUUUCUUAACUCUACUACGGUAAGAAGAUGCCCUCCAUCAGCAGGCCGUGUCUGCUGGGACCUCUCUGGAGACUUCCUGAACCCUGUGGAUUUACAGUAAGAUGCAGUUUCCUGGGGAGUAAUUCUGGUGGAUACAAAUUCCGGAGUAUUACACCUGGCUUGCCUGGAGAUGUUACAAGUAGCUGGAUGGAUUCUUCAGCCUGGAUGCCCACUGAAAACAAGGACCGAAACUAAGAGGAUUGUAUCUCUACCCUUGACUCAAUGAGAAUGUUUGUUGUCAUCUCUCGGGCUACCUGGAGCUCCCUCUAAAAUAGAGCCGAGUUCUGUCACCACAGACAUUGGCAGUGGCACUUGCAUGCCCCUGGCAAGCAGUCUAUCCUGAGGUGGAGGAAGUUGCCCUUGAGUUCUGGCUGGUAACCAGCACAGUAUACCCUUUAAGCGUUCCAGAAGGAUUUUGAGAUCCUUUCCUAAAUCAAAGGUGGAAUAUUUGGGGAUUUGGAAAAUUGAGGCUUCAGAGAAAUCAGGAGCGGUGAAUGAUCGAAAUGGACCUUUGAGAUUACAGUGUGGAGCUGACAUUGCCAGUUAAGCCUGGGCAGAUCUGACUUAAUUGAUUUAGUUGUUGGAGCAGAGACAACCCAGAGGCUUGGAUCAGCCUCCCCAUCUGACAGUGUGCUGAUGUGAAGCGUUGACUUAAGAGAUGCCAAGUAACUCAGCAGAUGUCACACAGACGAUAAAUAGCAAAGAUGGAAGUCUUCAUGCCGGAGGCAAUCCUAUAAGACAGCUGAGUUCUGCAGAGCUGGAGACAGACUUGCUCAGGUGAUAGAUCCAGCCAUGAUACUGACCCUAAGAGAAUGAGACGCUCUGCAGAAGACAGAAGAUUCCUGAAACUGGGAAAGGUGCCUAGAAAUCCUGAUAAGAGUGAAGAAGGAGCUGGCAGAGCAGCCUUCCUCCGCACUAUGAAAGACAUCCAACAGAGAGCAAGUUCCCACCUCACUUCCAGCUUGACUCCUUUUUAUCUCCUAACUGUGGUCUGUGAUGUCUUCAGCAAUGGUAUUAACUAGUUCUGGGUACCUGGAGGCACAGCAGCCAUGUUGAACCUAUGAGGUGAUGAAAAACCAUGCAACUAGAAACCAGAAUGGAAGAAAAGAAGAAGCUGGAUCCUUGACUGAAUUGUCGAUGGGGGAUAGUCCAUCAUCCCAGGGCUAAGACCACCUCCAGAUUUCUUGUUUGGUGAAACAAGUCCUGAUUGUUUACAUUCCCUCGUGUUGAGCUGUCUCUUGCUUGUAGCUGAAAGCAUUUCUAAUAGAUAUUCAGAUUAUCAGCCUUAGCUCCAAGCUAGAAUACUCUAUGGGACCUUAGCUUCUCCAUGAAUUCCUUUGCUCAUCUGUGUAAUGCUCAAUAAAUGUAAAUUGAACCCUGAAUGAGGGACAAUGACA